CAUGAAUUACUAUACUAUGUUGAUGAUCACUAUCUACGCAACCUUUGAAGCUCACCUUUUCAGUUAGUUAUUCAAUGGGAUAUUCUAUUGUUUAUUACUAUUGUGAUACUUAGGACUUUAAAUAAUGCCAUCAAUUGCAUGUGUAUGACUCCUACAAAAUAAAUGAAUCGCUUCCUGAACAGCAGCAAGUCUACGGCAGUCCUUAUUUCUUCCUCAAAUAACGGAGCGGAUAAGUAUCUACUUCAUUGUCGUCAUAUGGGAUUCAUGAUGUCAAAUUUUACUCAGAGACAGCAAGUGUAUUUCCGUAUAGUGGCGGCGGGUAUCUCCCUUCUUAGGGAAGGACUUUAACGGGAGGAAGAUGAAAACACCUAACUGAUCCCUAAUUAAUUUGGAUGGUCCUUUCUGACUUUAAAAUGUAUCAAGGAGGGAUAUAAUAAUCUGUGUAGCUGGAUACAUUUCAAGAUCGUUACAUAGAAAAAGAGAUAUCUUAUCUACAUACUACAACGUCAACAUAUAUGAGUUUAUCUACGAUAUCUUUAUAAAUGAUCAAACAUGUGGAGGUUUCCGAGGAAGAGUUAUCAGGAUACGCGGAUUUCCCGGUGGACCUGCUGUAUAAUUUCCUGUCCUAUAAUUACUGUCAAUAACCCUUCAGUCCUAACCUUACUUUCAUCCUUUGCCCAGGACUCCAAAACCUUACAAAACGCAACUCUCAUAUGGCAACUUCUUUUGUUUGUCGUUUCCUCUACUGUUAAUCCCAUCAUUUACUCAGCAUAAGCCUCAUUCAAUAUAUUUUAUGAGCCGGAACGUCUUGAUUGAUAACUUGCUAAAGAUAUAAAUUCAAUGUAUCAACUUUUUCAAAUAGUAUAGAAUCAAAGCAUAAGGAAAAACGAAAAACCCAAUGCUGAAGAUUUGGUGUUUCUGAAAUCUUCAUCUAAAAUAAUGGUCAAUUUAAUUG
rnacentral:lncRNA from 1 species